AACGUAGGAGACAAACGUUAUCCGGAGUUACUGGGCGUAAAGGGCGUGUAGGCGGUCUGUUAAGUCUGGCGUGAAAGCUCUCGGCUAAACCGGGAGAGGUCGUUGGAUACUGGCAGGCUCGAGCACGGUAGAGGCAGAUGGAAUUCCCGGUGUAGCGGUGGAAUGCGUAGAGAUCGGGAAGAACAUCAGUGGCGAAGGCGGUCGUGCUGGGCCGUUGCUGACGCUGGAGGCGCGACAGCGUGGGGAGCAAACAGG
rnacentral:rRNA from 1 species